CGGGGCACACGACCGCCCUUCACACAAGCGCCUUCACGCACGCGCUCGCUGCGCUGCCGCCACGCAAGCAUACGGCGGUUGCGGUUUGCCUUCGCAGAGCACCGGCUACACGAGCACAAUGAACGGCGCACUCACGCCGCGCCAGGAGGUGCAGCUCCCGCACGCGCCGGCGCUGCUCUAUAACAAUCUGCAGCCGCACGGAGGUGGCGCGUACGUGUCAUACGCAACGGACUCCGCCGUGUAUACGGUCCGGGCGUCGACAGGGGCUCCGUGCUUCAAGCCCCUUCGCUUUCCAUGUGGUCAAGUACAGCACCUCGCCGCCUUGCAAGAUGACGCAGAGCAGAACAUCAUUGUCGUAGUUGUCCUGUCCGCCUGCAUGGCCGUCAUCGUUGUGAACGGGCGACAGGUACACGUGCUACCAGAAAAGGGCGGCGACACGGCGCUCACCUGCGCAGCUGUGGCGCGUGUGGCGGGAAAAGACGAGAUGGUUGUGGCGGUCGGCGCAUCAAACGGAAUCCCGCUGUGCUGCCGGUGCACCCUCGACGGGCACCCGGUGGCGUCCGCGGAGGUCACUGCGCCAGUGCAAGCGCAUGCACAGCGCAGCAUCACGGCCUUGGAUCUCGAAGCCGUGGGAGAGGCGUCGCGUGUCGAGAUGGCAUCGGGCGACGCCGGCGGCCACGUGGUUCUCUGGGCCGACAGCAAUCCCACGCACACGAUCCCACCCGAGAGCGAUACCGACGCCGUCACGUGCGUGCGGCUGGUCUCCGUCAGCAACACCGUCGCUGUGGCGUACGGUGGAGGACAAAUCAAGCUCAUUCAGCGUAGCAGCGGCGCCGUCACCAUCGCCAUCCAGGCCCACUCCCGCUGGAUCAACGCGAUGGUAUACAGCGCCGCCCGGCACUGGCUGGCGUCUGCCGCCGAGGACGGGCAGAUAUCGGUGUGGGAUGUCACCUCCGUUGACCCGAAUCGCGUCUGCAUCGCGAGUGGUACCGUCACGAAUGAGCUGCCCACCGGGCUGGCGUUCCUGAGCAACAUGGGUGACCUUCUUGCUGCGUCGUACGAUGUAGUCAAGCUUCGGUGUUUUCCUCUUCCCGGCAAGGGGCGCUAGCGUGACCCGCACAGGUAACGGGCUCCCAGGUGCUUGCAGGAGGGCGGCACGGCCGCGUUUGCGAAACCAAAAACGAAGCGGCGCAAGGCCAGCGAAG
rnacentral:misc_RNA from 1 species